UUAUAUCACACUGAAACACCAGUUCUCAUAUGAUCACCUAAGUUAAGCCAUAUCAUGCCUGGUCAGUACCUAGAUGGGUGAUCAUUUGGGAAUACCAGAUGCUGUAAG